AUUGAACGCUGGCGGCAUGCCUUACACAUGCAAGUCGAACGGCAGCACGGGAGCAAUCCUGGUGGCGAGUGGCGAACGGGUGAGUAAUACAUCGGAACGUGCCCAUUAGUGGGGAUAGCCCGGCGAAAGCCGGAUUAAUACCGCAUACGACCUACGGGUGAAAGCAGGGGAUCGCAAGACCUUGCGCUAUUGGAAGCGGCCGAUGUCAGAUUAGCUAGUUGGNGGGGUAAAAGCCUACCAAGGCGACGAUCUGUAGCUGGUCUGAGAGGACGACCAGCACACUGGGACUGAGACACGGCCCAGACUCCUACGGGAGGCAGCAGUGGGGAAUUUUGACAAUGGGCGAAAGCCUGAUCCAGCCAUGCCGCGUGCGGGAAGAAGGCCUCGGU
rnacentral:rRNA from 1 species